ACCUUAGAGACCAACUAAGUUUGUUCUGGGUAUAAGCUUUCGUGUGCAUCUGGGUAUCUGAAGAAGUGUGCAUGCACACAAAAGCUUAUACCCAGAACAAACUUAGUUGGUCUCUAAGAU